UUAAGCGACUAAGCGUACACGGUGGAUGCCCUGGCAGUCAGAGGCGAUGAAGGGCGUGCUAAUCUGCGAUAAGCGCCGGUAAGGUGAUAUGAACCGUUAUAACCGGCGAUACCCGAAUGGGGAAACCCAGUGUGACUCGUCACACUAUCAUUAACUGAAUCCAUAGGUUAAUGAGGCGAACCGGGGGAACUGAAACAUCUAAGUACCCCGAGGAAAAGAAAUCAACCGAGAUUCCCCCAGUAGCGGCGAGCGAACGGGGAGGAGCCCAGAGCCUGAAUCAGCAUGUGUGUUAGUGGAAGCGUCUGGAAAGGCGCGCGAUACAGGGUGACAGCCCCGUACACAAAAGCGCAUGUGCUGUGAGCUCGAUGAGUAGGGCGGGACACGUGGUAUCCUGUCUGAAUAUGGGGGGACCAUCCUCCAAGGCUAAAUACUCCUGACUGACCGAUAGUGAACCAGUACCGUGAGGGAAAGGCGAAAAGAACCCCGGCGAGGGGAGUGAAAAAGAACCUGAAACCGUGUACGUACAAGCAGUGGGAGCACCCUUCGGGGUGUGACUGCGUACCUUUUGUAUAAUGGGUCAGCGACUUAUAUUCUGUAGCAAGGUUAACCGAAUAGGGGAGCCGGAGGGAAACCGAGUCUUAAUUGGGCGUUAAGUUGCAGGGUAUAGACCCGAAACCCGGUGAUCUAGCCAUGGGCAGGUUGAAGGUUGGGUAACACUAACUGGAGGACCGAACCGACUAAUGUUGAAAAAUUAGCGGAUGACCUGUGGCUGGGGGUGAAAGGCCAAUCAAACCGGGAGAUAGCUGGUUCUCCCCGAAAGCUAUUUAGGUAGCGCCUCGUGAAUUCAUCUCCGGGGGUAGAGCACUGUUUCGGCUAGGGGGCCAUCCCGGCUUACCAACCCGAUGCAAACUGCGAAUACCGGAGAAUGUUAUCACGGGAGACACACGGCGGGUGCUAACGUCCGUCGUGAAGAGGGAAACAACCCAGACCGCCAGCUAAGGUCCCAAAGUCAUGGUUAAGUGGGAAACGAUGUGGGAAGGCCCAGACAGCCAGGAUGUUGGCUUAGAAGCAGCCAUCAUUUAAAGAAAGCGUAAUAGCUCACUGGUCGAGUCGGCCUGCGCGGAAGAUGUAACGGGGCUAAACCAUGCACCGAAGCUGCGGCAGCGACGUUUAUGCGUUGUUGGGUAGGGGAGCGUUCUGUAAGCCUGCGAAGGUGGCCUGUGAGGGUUGCUGGAGGUAUCAGAAGUGCGAAUGCUGACAUAAGUAACGAUAAAGCGGGUGAAAAGCCCGCUCGCCGGAAGACCAAGGGUUCCUGUCCAACGUUAAUCGGGGCAGGGUGAGUCGACCCCUAAGGCGAGGCCGAAAGGCGUAGUCGAUGGGAAACGGGUUAAUAUUCCCGUACUUGGUGUUACUGCGAAGGGGGGACGGAGAAGGCUAUGUUGGCCGGGCGACGGUUGUCCCGGUUUAAGCGUGUAGGCUGGUUUUCCAGGCAAAUCCGGAAAAUCAAGGCUGAGGCGUGACGACGAGGCACUACGGUGCUGAAGCAACAAAUGCCCUGCUUCCAGGAAAAGCCUCUAAGCAUCAGGUAACAUCAAAUCGUACCCCAAACCGACACAGGUGGUCAGGUAGAGAAUACCAAGGCGCUUGAGAGAACUCGGGUGAAGGAACUAGGCAAAAUGGUGCCGUAACUUCGGGAGAAGGCACGCUGACAUGUAGGUGAAGUGAUUUACUCAUGGAGCUGAAGUCAGUCGAAGAUACCAGCUGGCUGCAACUGUUUAUUAAAAACACAGCACUGUGCAAACACGAAAGUGGACGUAUACGGUGUGACGCCUGCCCGGUGCCGGAAGGUUAAUUGAUGGGGUCAGCGCAAGCGAAGCUCCUGAUCGAAGCCCCGGUAAACGGCGGCCGUAACUAUAACGGUCCUAAGGUAGCGAAAUUCCUUGUCGGGUAAGUUCCGACCUGCACGAAUGGCGUAAUGAUGGCCAGGCUGUCUCCACCCGAGACUCAGUGAAAUUGAACUCGCUGUGAAGAUGCAGUGUACCCGCGGCAAGACGGAAAGACCCCGUGAACCUUUACUAUAGCUUGACACUGAACAUUGAGCCUUGAUGUGUAGGAUAGGUGGGAGGCUUUGAAGUGUGGACGCCAGUCUGCAUGGAGCCGACCUUGAAAUACCACCCUUUAAUGUUUGAUGUUCUAACGUGGACCCGUAAUCCGGGUUGCGGACAGUGUCUGGUGGGUAGUUUGACUGGGGCGGUCUCCUCCUAAAGAGUAACGGAGGAGCACGAAGGUUGGCUAAUCCUGGUCGGACAUCAGGAGGUUAGUGCAAUGGCAUAAGCCAGCUUGACUGCGAGCGUGACGGCGCGAGCAGGUGCGAAAGCAGGUCAUAGUGAUCCGGUGGUUCUGAAUGGAAGGGCCAUCGCUCAACGGAUAAAAGGUACUCCGGGGAUAACAGGCUGAUACCGCCCAAGAGUUCAUAUCGACGGCGGUGUUUGGCACCUCGAUGUCGGCUCAUCACAUCCUGGGGCUGAAGUAGGUCCCAAGGGUAUGGCUGUUCGCCAUUUAAAGUGGUACGCGAGCUGGGUUUAGAACGUCGUGAGACAGUUCGGUCCCUAUCUGCCGUGGGCGCUGGAGAACUGAGGGGGGCUGCUCCUAGUACGAGAGGACCGGAGUGGACGCAUCACUGGUGUUCGGGUUGUCAUGCCAAUGGCACUGCCCGGUAGCUAAAUGCGGAAGAGAUAAGUGCUGAAAGCAUCUAAGCACGAAACUUGCCCCGAGAUGAGUUCUCCCUGAGACUUAGAGUCUCCUGAAGGAACGUUGAAGACGACGACGUUGAUAGGCCGGGUGUGUAAGCGCAGCGAUGCGUUGAGCUAACCGGUACUAAUGAACCGUGAGGCUUAACCUU
rnacentral:rRNA from 1 species